CACACUUAAAACAUAAACAUAACCAAAAAUCAGCCAAAUACAUCCAGGGGUUAAAAAGUUAGCUGGAGGUCCUUUUAUGACCGACCGCAAGCACAUUUUCCUGCCCAAAACAGUUCCAUAGAUUUGGGCUGUGAGGUCGGUCUAUUUCAGGCUGAAAAAAACGACUAAGUCCCAUCGCCGAAUGGGACUUAGUCUCUGCAGCUGUAAAACCAGUAGGGGAG